rnacentral:tRNA from 1 species
GCCCCGGUCGUUCAGCCUGGUCUAGGAUGCGGGCCUGUCGAGCCCGAGACCCGGGUUCGAAUCCCGGCCGGGGCGCCA